GCUGGGCAUGGUGGCAUACACCUGUAAUCCCAGCAUCUUGGGGGCUGAGAGAGGAGGAUCACAAGUUCAAGGCCAGCCACAGCAACUUGGUGAGACCCUGUCUCAA
rnacentral:sRNA from 1 species